rnacentral:lncRNA from 1 species
UAGAUAACAUCGCAAUAUCACUAUUGUACAAGCCCAAAUUUACCCGGGGCCCAAUAUGGUCCAAAUAAAACCAACCCUAUACCCACCUAGACCUAACCCAAAAUCAGCCCAGUACACUUAAACAAACCCAAACAAACCCAAUUACAAACCCAAAUCAGAUGGCCCAAUAAAGACCCAAAUCCCAACCCACCUAAAUCUAACCCUAACAGCCCACAACCUAAACAAACAAAGAGAAACCCUAGCCUCCUAAUCUCUGGCGCCGCACCACCUACCCUCUGCCACCGUACGGCCUCCUCCC